AACCUGGGACCCUUCAUAAAAAAGAUGGGAUUACUGAGACUGUGUGCUGUGACACUGACCUUUGCAAUGCAGCAGAUGGUGUGUAUAAGAGAAGCUUCCUCCUGCUGUGGUCUCCUCUGUUUUUCUACAUCCUGUUCCAGUGAGUCCGGCUCCACUGCAGAUUCUACCGUUGCAGCAAAAACUCAAUGCCACACACAUUUCUAUUCAUACUUUACUGAACAAAAUGGUGUGCAUGUUGUUCUGGUGUUGGCGUUUUUUUAGUAUCAUGAUUUGAGGAACACAAACUUUGUAUUUUAAUAAACAGUUA